AUGAGUGACCCAACCAAGUGAAAAUCAUAGCCUAGUGCUGCAUACUCAGCUCUUGGACACAGCAAAUUGCUGCCAUUGCCCAAGAGACAUUGGGAAUGGGAGAAAAAGAGUUGUGAAAUGGGUACUGCGUGCUGAGGGCAGGAUCACCAUGGUGCUUUGGCCAGGUCUUCCAACCAGGAGUUCAAGGUGCCCUUGAACCAUGUGGAGAUGACCAUGUGCAUCCCUCCCUGAGCUCCCCCUGGGCCAAGCCCUUCCCACCAUGUUGGGUCUCCAUGGAGAAGACCAAGCUCUGAUCUGAUGAUGAGACUGCUCUGAUUUCUCCUACCUGGAAGCCAGCAGCCAAGGCAAUCUCAUUAAAUCAUGUGAGUAUUCCCACCUGGUGAGAUAUAAUAGCAUUGUAGAAUCAUAGAAUGGUUUGUGUUGGAAGGGACAUCAAAGAUCAUCUAUUUCCAACCCCCUUGCCUUGGUAGGGACACCUUCCAUAUCCAUGUGUCUUCCUCAUCUGUUAUGCAGGCCGAAUUGUGGAAGAAAUCCAUGGAAUGAAAUAAAUGGAGAGGGAUGGUGGCCAUCUCCUGUGGUCCUGAUCAUCAAAGCCAUAUGGUCAGGACUCCAAACCAGCCUCUCUUUUUCACCUUUGUACCACUGGCUUUGAAACAGAGCUGGUGGUUCUGGACUUGCAUCUCAGACCAACCCUCCUGGAGAAGACUCUUGGAUCUUUCCCUUCUUGUUAUUGACAGCCUGACUCUAUCUCUCUGCCUGCAAGGUGGAAGUUUUUCUCUUGCUACCGAGAGCUUCCUUCAUCUACCCAGGGAGAUAGGUGUUAUUUAUGCUUUCUAAAAAUAAAAAUCCUCAUUAAUUCCCAUUUUUGGUUUAUCAGUGCAUACUGCUUUCUUCAACUCCUUUUAAAGCAUGGAGCCUUUUCUUGGUGCUCAAGGUGUAAAGGCAGUGUGGUUUAGACCCUGCUCGCUUCCAUUGGGAUCUGCCUGCCCUUGGGAUCCUCCUGGCACCUGGGAUUCCCCCUGCACAUCACGCAGUGCCCGUGGCCUCCCCUCUCCGCUCACAUACACAGGAAGGAGCCCGGUCUCGCCCACCCGCAGCGAACUCAGCGGGUGCAGAGGGGCUGAGCCAGAGCUGCUGACUUCCUCCUGGGCCACGAGAGCACGGCAGCCUCAGGAGAUGUGCUGUGGGCAGCGCUGCUGGGGCCUCGGCUCCCUCCUCCUCCUGCUGCUGCUGCUGCUGCUGGGGCAAAACCUGGGUCUUCUCAUCGACAUCCCGCAGGAUGUGGUCAGUGGCACCGUGGGGCAGUCCGUGCUCCUGCCUGUCUCCUACAGAGUCAACAGCUCCCUUUGCUUCCCAAUGUCAAUUCUGUGGAAGCUUGGGAACAGCCCACAAGUGAUCAUCACCUGCACAGUGCAGAACUGCUCCCUGGAUGCUGAGGGAGCUCCCAAGAAAUGCUCUGCAGUAUGUUUCCCUCUUGCCACAUACCGGAACCGCAUUGAGGUCUUCCCCGAGAACGCAUCCCUGCUGCUGCGGGACCUGCAGCUCAGUGACAGCGGGGUGUACAGCGUCACCUUCCAACAACAAAAUCAAAUCAGAUGGAUCACCCUAGUUGUGCACAAUCAGCAUGUUCCCCCCGAGCAUCAUGACGAAGGUAAGUGCCCAUGUGCCUGGAUAGAUCCCUUCUGCACUGCCCUGGACAUGGGGCAUCAGGCAUGGGCAGGAAUGUGGUUCCCUUCCCAUGGAUAUGAAGUGCUGCAGCAAAGGGAGGAUUUCCAGGGGUAUCGCAGCUGGUGCUGGUUGUGCUACUCUUUUACAGAAGGAAACCCACCCUGUUCUGCUCUGCCUGCUAAAUUAGAAGUAUGAGAGCUUGUUGUGCAUGCAGCUGGUUGUCUUGUCUUUACCUGAGAUGAAUGGCUACAGAUGAGAGAGACAGGUUCAGAAACUGAAGCACUGGGUCUGAGUGCCCAGGGUAAUUCACAACUUGCUGGGCUUAAUAGGGUGCUUGGAGAUAAAUCAGUAGCCACAGAGGCUGUGAAACAUACAGCAAAUUUUCUUCUACCACUCUGGUGCCACCCUACCUACAAAGCGGGGGAAAUAAUCUCCACUGCGGUAUCUGCCACCCCUGAAUUCCUUUAGGAAGCACUCACAGCACCUCUUGUCUUCCAAGUACCAGACAGCGAGGAUCCAGGCAACACCCCUUACUACACAAUUGGAGCUUGCUCUUUUAUCGGCCUCUUUCUGCUGUUCCUGGCCCUCUGCAUGUGGCGAUGGGGUAGGUGGAUCUGCUCCCGCAUUUCUCCCUUUGAGGCUGCACCUCUGGGCGUGUUCCUGGGGGAUAAAGGCAGUGGAGGGCUCUUCUCCCCCAAAUCAUUCCUUCCCUAUGAGCUCCCCUUCAAUGUGCUCCUCCUGCCAUGCCUAAAGGGUUCCAAGUUUGUGGUGCAGCUUAACAAAGCAGAAGCACAGCACGGGGCAGCUGUGGUGGUUUUCUGCAGAACUCAGAUAUUUUAGUGCCGAGACCAGAACUGAGAUACAGCAUCACAUCUAAUCCGUAAAAGAGGUACAACUGAUGGAUGCAGAAAUGCAUCCUCUGAGUGUGGCUGUGAUUAUUCUGCUGUAGACACUUUAGAACUCCAGCUAGGGAGAAUAUCCUGGCAUGUGUCCACUUGAGAAUAAACCUGCAAGAUGCAGGUCUCCA
rnacentral:lncRNA from 1 species